CGCCGGCGACCGGCGCACGGGUGAGUAACACGUAUGCAACCUGGCCGUGACAGAUGGAUAACCGGGAGAAAUCCCGCCUAAUACAACAUAAUGCCGGGAGGGGACAUCCCCUGCCGGUCAAAGGGGGCGACCCCGGUCACGGAUGGGCAUGCGGCGCAUUAGGUAGUUGGUGGGGCAACGGCCCACCAAGCCGACGAUGCGUAGGGGUUCUGAGAGGAAGGUCCCCCACAUUGGAACUGAGACACGGUCCAAACUCCUACGGAAGGCAGCAG
rnacentral:rRNA from 1 species